AACUCUGGUGGCCUAGUGGUUUGAGUGUCCACCUCGGAUGAGGGAAGUCGUGGGUUUAAUCCCUAUCUGAGUAA